rnacentral:rRNA from 1 species
GUGAGGAAUAUUGCGCAAUGGAGGCAACUCUGACGCAGCCAUGCCGCCUGCAGGAAGAAGGCGCUACGCGUUGUAAACUGCUUUUAACCGGGAAGAAACCCCAGGACGUGUCCUGGGUUGACGGUACCGGAGGAAUAAGCACCGGCUAACUUCGUGCCAGCAGCCGCGGUAAUACGAAGGGUGCAAGCGUUAUCCGGAUUCAUUGGGUUUAAAGGGUGCGUAGGCGGAGCGUUAAGUCAGUGGUGAAAUCCUGCAGCUUAACUGUAGACUUGCCAUUGAUACUGGCGCUCUUGAGUGCGCUUGAAGUGGGCGGAAUGUGCCGUGUAGCGGUGAAAUGCUUAGAUAUGGCACAGAACACCAAUUGCGAAGGCAGCUCACUAAGGCGAUACUGACGCUGAGGCACGAAAGCGUGGGGAUCGAACAGGAUUAGAAACCCGUGUAGUCC